ACACAGUAUUGUGCUGUAUUUGCUUUUUUUUUUUUGGUCUCUACUGCUGCCCGAUCAUACUUCUGGUUCCAAAUGAGGGGUGUGGUUGACCAGUUAGUUCAUAACUCUGAGGUUCUUCUAUAAUAUUCAUGGGCGCAGUCCUUGUCAAAGCUUGGAUAACUCCAAACCUAUCAGUACAACUAACUGGUUGUUAUGGUAUAAUGGCAGAAAUGUGGCAGCUGUGGUUAUACAAAUUGAUAUCCAUUCAUGCAUGUAUUGGAUCAAGAAUUUCUACCUGCAGUGAGCCCUGAUCUAUAUCCUGUGCAAUUCAGCUGAAGCCUUUGGAGCUUGGUAGGGAGGUGUAAAACAUAGCAGAAUUAGGGGUGAUGUAUAUGUUUAAAUCUAACUUGAAUUUUCUAAUUCAGAGUAUCAAAAUGUUGUGUAUUCACAAGUUCACCCUAACAUAUAUUGUGAAGAAGAAACAGGGAGGGAUAAGUAUACUCAGACACACCUCCCUCACACUUACAAUUACAGUACAUACAUGCACAUUUGUGACCGUGUGAGCACCUUGAAGCUGACUCAUCACUCUAUGCAUUUGGCAAGCAUUCCCAGAUGGACCAAAUUGAGGAGAGAAUUGAUUAAGGAUGGGAUGAUUAGCCACUUAACAAGGUGAUUCAGCUCCUCAGCUGAGGAGGGUUAAGAGAGGGAAAGGGGAAGAAAGGGAGGAAGGGCCAGAGAAGCCUAGGAUCUCAGGGAGUUGAAAGCCCUCGUCCUGUGCCUAUGGAGAAGGUCAGCCACAAGAGAGAAUGCAGCUCUGAGGGAUGCUAGGAGAGUGUCUUCAGGGAAUGUCUUCACUGCAGAGUUAGUCUGAGCUAUAAGUUGACUGUUGCUCCUAACUUGAGUCCUGUUCAGAUACAGAAUCACAUAACUCGAGUGUGUGCUUUUAACAUGAGGAUCUCUGUGGGAUCUGCCAUUUUUGUCAUUUCUCUGGAGGGAAAUUCUGAGAAAGAGGCAUUUGAAUUUUCAAAGACCCUGGGGCAGGUCUUGGUCCCUACAUCCACCCCUUUCAUUUUCUGGUAGAUCUGCUGAAUGGAUCAAGUCCUGAGGUCCCUGCGCAAUCCUGACAGAGGCAAAAUUCCAAUUGACUUAAAUAGGAA